ensembl:lncRNA
UGACUCUUCAACACCAUGACUGAGGAGAGCGCCGUGGCAACGCUUCAAAUAUUCAAACACUCAUCACCAAAAUUCCAAAUUGAAUUUGCGGCAACAUUCUGACCUCAGAGGAGCUGGAAAUCACACACACGCACAUCACUCUGACCAGAGAUGCACCGCGUGGGAUGGACAGCUGCACUGAAAGGCUGUGGUCAGGAUGAAAGGCCCGUCAUUUGGCUGUGAUGUCUUUCUUCUGCAUGAAUAAGCAUAUCCCCGCAUCUCCAGACCUCCAGGGGCCUCCUGGAUGCUGUCCCCUGCCCUGGGCCUCCUCUCUCAGGACACUGCUUUCCUGCCUUUCUACUGCUGUAGAUGUUAUAGAACAUCCAGGAAGGCCAAACAAAAGACAGAGCAGCACCUUUCCUACUACACAUUCCAAUUAGAUCCAAGCAGGUUUUUCUCCGAACCUGUGAUGAAAGAUGUUUGUUUAUUCUCCAAAAAAAAAGAAAAAGAAAAGAAUCACAUGAAUCAAUUUCAAAAAGAAGUCACUAGAAGGCAUUGGGAAUCGAGAAUCGAUUUCAUUAAAAGGCCUAUUUAAUAGCCUUUUUCAGUUCAGUAGAGCUAAUCAUUAAUUAACCUCUCAGUCCCUCACUAAUUGUGGUGUGAAGUCACUUUUAUUAUAUAGCACUUUAUAGAAUAGAUUGCUUUAAAGCAAGCAGCUUUACAGUAUUAAACAUGAAAAACACUGUCAGUGUCUCUUUAAAUUAGAAUUACAACUCCAAUUUCCACUAUAUAGCUGCUUUCCAGUGUGUUUUUAUUUGCUUCUGACCUUGACUGACUGAUCAGAAGAAAUUAAAUGGAAAGGAUUUCCACACGGCUCGGAAUCGAUUCCAAAAAGACAGACUGAACCAAAGAAAUUAACCCUAGAAAAUUUCCAUUAGGCUGGGAAUCGAUUCCAAAAAGAGUCAAUUGAGAGGCGUUGGUAUUUUAAUUGUUGGAAUUGAUUCUGUCAAAGGCAGCUGACUCCUCUUUAAAAGCAAUUUUUAAGUCGCUUUUGUUAUAUAGCACUUUAUACAAUAGAUUGCUUUAAGGCAAGCAGCUUUAAACAGUGCUCAUGUUGUUACUUGCAUCUGACUUCGACAGACUGAACAGGAAGACCUGGAGAAGAUUACCAUUGGGCUGGGAGUCUAUUCCCAAAAGAAUCGAUUCAGAAGUGUUGGGAAUCAAGAAUUGAUUCCUAAAUUUACACUCCUCUUUAAUAGACCUUAUCAGGGCAAUGGAGCUAAUUUGGUCACUAAUAGUGAUGAAUUCUGAUUCAUUUCCACAAACUGGUUCAUUCAGACUGUUCUUUUCAAUGAAUAGGUUAAACAAACAAACAUUGAAGCUCUUCUCUUAAUGUUACAUAAUGCAAUCACUAGAGUAUAUUUCUUU